UACGUAGGGUGCGAGCGUUGUCCGGAAUUAUUGGGCGUAAAGAGCUUGUAGGCGGUUUGUCGCGUCUGCAGUGAAAAUCCGGGGCUCAACCCCGGACUUGCUGUGGGUACGGGCAGACUAGAGUGUGGUAGGGGAGACCGGAAUUCCUGGUGUAGCGGUGGAAUGCGCAGAUAUCAGGAGGAACACCGAUGGCGAAGGCAGGUCUCUGGGCCACAACUGACGCUGAGAAGCGAAAGCAUGGGGAGCGAACAGG
rnacentral:rRNA from 1 species